rnacentral:tRNA from 1 species
GCGCUCGUAGCUCAGCUGGAUAGAGGAUCCGCCUUCUAAGCGGUUGGUCGCAGGUUCGCGCCCUUCCGGGUGCGCCA